rnacentral:rRNA from 1 species
UACGAAGGGGGCUAGCGUUGUUCGGAAUUACUGGGCGUAAAGCGCGCGUAGGCGGUGAUCUUUGUCAGGGGUGAAAUCCCGGGGCUCAACUCCGGAAUUGCCUUUGAAACGGGAUCGCUAGAGUCCGAGAGAGGAUGGCGGAAUUCCUAGUGUAGAGGUGAAAUUCGUAGAUAUUAGGAAGAACACCGGUGGCGAAGGCGGCCAUCUGGCUCGGUACUGACGCUCAGGCGCGAAAGCGUGGGGAGCAAACAGG